UCCAACUUCAAUGCCAAUCCUGAGAUUGAAAGCCAUGAUCGAUACACCCAAAAAGACUUAUCCUCAUCCACAUGCUGCAAACAGAAAGUGACCAACACAUAUGAGAAGUCAAGAAUCUAAGCCGGAUAAGCGUCGCAGCUCGUGCUUCUUUGAAAACUGGCGUAUCAUCGAGUGGAUUCUGGUGUGGUGGUUCAAGAAGUUUCACCAUCGCGUUUUCCAUGUGCGUAUUCUUCUUCGAUUUGCACAAAGCAUAUGAGCCGGAAGCGGAUCUAGAUUCACAACGCAGCUUCAACAAAAUGUCAUCAAAUCGAGUUCAAUUGUCGUCUUCACCAAAUCAAGAUUUGUAAGAUUCAACGUCGAAACUAAAAUCUUUGAACUGCCUGCGACUCGCGUGCAAAAUUGAGAAUCACUGCGUAUGAAUUGACAAUUGAAGCCAAAAUAGGAACACUUACCGGAUUGAAACUUUGCUUGUGAAUAGGUACGAGUCCUCUUCUCUGAUUCUGAUCCGAUUCGUCUUUGAUUUCACGCUUCUUCUUCUUCACUUCGACCUUUCUUCUGACUCUGCUCCUCUGAACUUUUUGGCUGCGUGAGCGAUGAUGAACCUGCGUCUGUGGAUUGAGGAGAAUAUGAAGAAUACGCAAGUGGAAAAAAUGCAGACUCUCGAAGUGAAAAAUGAAUCCUCUUCAUUGAAGAUAGGGCCUUGGCUUAUUGUCUUUGAAUAGUGGAAAUUUGGUUGGUUGCUCUUGGCAAUUGUUACUUGGAAGGGAUUUGAAUUAUGCAUUGAUUGUCACUUUUGUAAUGAAUGUAAAAUAUUGGUUUAGGUUAAUGUAAUUUGAUUGAGUAAUGAAAAUUGGAUAUUAUAAUGAA